UGGUGAACGAGCGUUGGCAGGAACACCAGGUGAAAAAUUCAAGAAAAAUGUCUGAAAAAAGAAAACGAAUACAGCCACCACAUCUAAAGACUGGUGACAUUUCCAAGGCUGUGAAAACAUGUCGGAUACAGGUGAAGGUUUGAUGGUCGGAGGUGAAUGAGCGUUGUGGGGGCUCGUCCGGGAAGCUCAGAGAGCAGUUCAAAAAUUCUGGAAACAAAAAAAAUGAAUUGCAGACAUUGGAAGGGGAGAUUCACAAAAAGAUAAAAGACAACGGUCACCUGCCAAUCGAUGGGUACAAAAUGCAGAAAUGAAACGGCAUUCUGGGAAAAAAGCCAAUACCACAGAUGGCCCCUAGGGGGAGUGUAAAAAAGAAAGAUGGCGCUCGUGUUCCUAUUGUGGGCGGAGCAGACGUUGGGAAAGAACCGGUGAGAAUUUACGAUCUUGCUUUUAGAAGGAAGAAUAAUGAAUAUAAAUCCCUUCAGCACCAGUGGGGUUAAAGGGACAGGUGUCCGCACGGCGCUUAUUCCGAUCCCGCCACAUGUGUACGCCUUACACGUCUCCUCCUCGUAAAGUGACGGGCAGCGAUCGCGCACACACACAAUUUCCCCUCCUGCAUUCCAGAUCCUCUACGCCGGACACCUGCCUUGCUUUUCACUGUUUGUUUUCACACUGCGAGGUGCUGGUGCCAGCUGAGCUCAUAUAUGUCAAUAUUAGGACCCGGGGGCCUGGCGGGAGAUGUCACACUUCCACCGCUUAACCCCUCCGGCUCCUCCGCACUCCUUCUCAAGUCUCAGACCUGUAAUGAUGGGGAUGUGCAGCCCAGAUUAGUCCUAUUUACUUAGUGCGGCUUAUGCUUUUAUUUUUAUUAUGACUUUUAUUGUGCUCUUGUCUGCUUUGGGAUUUUAAGCUGCUAAAUAUUUAUACCACAACCCUUUUAGCAUUUGA